rnacentral:lncRNA from 1 species
GUGAGCAUUCAAGAGAUAACGGUGUCUCUAAUAAUGAGGUCAUCUAAUAUUCAAACAUCUGAACUCCAAUCAAGAGAUGAUGGAAGGUCUUCGAGAAAAUAUACCAGAAAAAUCCCAAAUUAAAUACUACAGUCAUGAUGAGCACCAGAUACCCACUCAAGAGGAGAUAAUGUCUUGUCCCUGGAUGUUUGCAAAUGUCCAGCUAAGAGUUGAUGGUAUCCCUAAUCAAGAUAAUGACCGUGGGAUUUUGCAGUUAUCCAAGCAAGAGAUGACGUGUCCCUACCGUGAUCUUGAUCCUGUGCCUUUCUAGGUAUUCAGAUAUUCUGAGAAGAGAUGAUGGUGUUCCUAACAACACUAAUGACCCAGGAUUCUGCACAUACCCAGUGAAGAGAUGAUGGCAUCUCUACCAACAUUGGUGUCUAUGGAAAUGAAAGAAAUGGAAUGCUUUUUUUGAUUAGCUAUAUAAUUUGUUAAAAGAAUUUUAACUUUCAAUGACUAUUAAAUAUUAUUCACAAUCGUAUUUUCUUAUAUCCAUUUGUUUAUUCAAUUUCUCCAUAAUGACAUUUGCAUCAGGAAUCUUAAGGCCCAUGUUUAUGAAAUAUGUUAAUAUCUUGGAGCCAUCAAUACAGAUAGACUUCAUAUGAAAUGUGAUUAUUUCCUAAAGAAAACUAGUCUAUAAACCCAAUUCUUUAGUUAAAGGGUUGGGGGAACCAAGGAAGAGGAAUAUUGGUAUACAUAUUAUGGGCAAAAAACAUCUGUACUCUCACCCUCCUGAUGUGAAUAGGCAUUAGAUGAUAUGUUAGGAAAAUACGUGAAACAUGAUAGAGAUUAAUGGGACACUUAUAUCUCUUGUCUAAUUAUUCAGUUAUUAAAUUAUUAUUUAGCUUAUUAUAUCAUUGACACAUAGAAAAUGAAAGCUGAAUAAGAAUUUGGUGAUCGUUUAGCCCAACACCACCAUGAAUGAGAGAGCCCUGAGUGCAGAGAGGUUAAUCAAGGUCACACAGCUGUCUAGUUGUGAUGUGCUCUUUCCGUUAUCCUGUUUUCUUGGUUUGAAAACCUGAGGCCGAUUAAAAAGCAAUAAGGCAAGGCAAGUGCUUGUUCGAAUCAAUACGGCUCAGGAAAUGCACUUCCAAUCGGCCAGGCUAUUCAUCAUGCACCUUGCUUUUUUGUUCAUAUAUUCAGUAUAAAAUUCUCCUUAGCCCCGGGUCUCCGUCCUAAACCUCCAGGUACACAUGUCUCCUAUGAAGGGAAGCAGCCUACUCUGAAUUUCGGUUCAGCCAAGUGGGAUUCCUAUGAACUUCUGUUCUCUGAUAUAACGGUCCUGAGAUCUAUUUACAGCCAUUGUUCUCUGCAUUUCAAAACCAUUGAACAUAAUGUCAGAGCAAGACCCGGUAGGUAUAAUUUAUAGGAAAAGAGAAGUAAAGGGUUUAAUCUGCAACAGUGGAUGAUGAUAAUGAUGGAGAAAGAAAAUUAAAGAGACGAGGCUGAGCAAACUUGACAAGACGCCCUCACCCCAUGCACCUCAGGCCAUGCACAUAGUAGGCACUCAGUACUUUUUAAAGUAAAUGAAUGCUUCUUGAUAGUUUGGACAGUUGUGGAUCAGCCCACUCAGCCGCCGUUCUUUCUUCCAGUGUGUGAAGGCAAGAGUGCUAAAAACUCCCAUUUCCCGGACUCCUGGCCACACAGAUGUGAGUAUGCUUCAGAUUCCGUCAUCUGAUGUAAAAGUAUGUUUAACUUUUACUGGAAUUAAGUCGGAGGUAGACGGGCAAGGUGCGCACCGCCAUUUUACUGGCACGGAUUGUGGCAGGGCUCCCGUGGUUCUAGACAGAUGUGUUUGAGGAGCUUGGAAUUCAUAAAACAGGUAAGCCAAAGCUGGAGAUGUAGCUCAGGGUCCAGUAUGCUAUUUAAGGAAACAUUCUUUCAUCUUCCCAUUUUUCUCCUUUUAGUUUUUGAAAAAUUUACAGACCAUAUUGUCACAGAGAUAAGAGGUUGAAAAAGGAAAAGCCAACCAUUACACCACCCACUGAAACACAUAAAGAACCAAGGAAAAUUAUAAGUGUUUAUCAGUCAUUAUCCAUAUUAAUACAUCUUACAUAGUUACCAUACGGUUGAAAUAAUUUGGGGAAGAUUUCUUUUCAAAUUGUAAAUAUACGCACAUAUUUUAAUAUCUAGAAAAUUGCAAAAAUGACAAGGGAAAAUUAAACGUGAAUCUGUGCACGUAGAAGUCCCUCAUUCAACACCACCGGUAGGUACACUGCCAUGCCCCGGGGAUCAACAGUGAAGAAGCUAGACAAUGUCCAUGCCCUAAGGAAGAUUCCCUUUUCUAGUAUGUUACAAUUCCAGUGAUCCAUACAUCCGGUGGCCACGUUAUUUCAGCAUUUCGUUGUCCCAGCAUAAUUUUUAAUGGCUCUCACUCUCAAGGGUGUCUCAGUUUGGACAAUACAUUAAAUGGAUACCCUGGAUAUAAUAAUAUACAAGUGAAGAUAUACUUUAAUUAGAGUGGUAAGUUCUAUAAAAACAAGGUAAGGUGAUACUAACUGGGGAAAGGGACUACUUUAGUGUGAGUGGUCAAGGAGGUCCUCUCUGAGGAGAGCUAAGACAGUGAAAAGAAAGAGCCAGUCAGGGGGAGAUCGAAGGGGUGAACAUUCUAGGAAUAGCAAAUGCAAGCAGACGAGUGGGGAGGACAGAAAGAGGCAAUGUGGAUGGAGGGCAGUGCGUGAAGAGGGAGAGGGGCCCAAGGAUGUGCGAGGGCUAGAUUGCGGAAGGCCUUGUAGAUCAUGGGGAGGAGCUUGGCUUGCAUUUGAAAUGCAGUGGGUGCUCUUUGAAAGAGAACAAAGUGACCUAAUUUGUGUGUCUUUGCCCAAUUUAUUCAGUUCCGCAGUACAGCGAAUCAGUAUCUGGUGAAGGACACUCAAAGGUAAAAUCCCGCGGCUCCUGUAGUAAUGCCACAGGGACUGUGAUUUAACGAAAAAUCCUACCCAUUUAUUACCAGCACCAGAAUGAAAGAUCAAUGAUGAUAGGACUUCAAGCUUACUACUAAGCUGAAAUUCUCAAGAAACGUAUUUACAACUCUCCCCCCGCCUGCCAGAGUAUUAAAGGAUAAAAUACAUCAAAGUGUUUACUUUUAGAACAUGAGAACGGACUUGCAAACAAAUAUGGAUUUUUGUAGGUUUAGUCACGUUCCCCGCUCAUCAUUAAUGCCAUUUGGUAAGGAUUUUGCAGUUUGAAAGUAGUCGGGACAAGUCUUGAGCCACCAGGGAGUGGCAUUUUGGGGCAGACUUACUCCCAUGUUUGGAGUUGGUUUGGACAGGGGGGGAGGAGCAAGAUGCCACAAUCUGGUAGCGGUCCUUGAUAGGUGUUCCAGAAGCCUCCAUGUUCCUUCUGAGGCAUUUUAAAGUGAUCCAGCUCAGAGGCGCACCUCCAUCCCGCUGUGCUCGGCGUCCCCAGGCCCAGCACUUGGCCACGUGGGUUGUGUGCAACGCAGGGGAGCCAGGCUGCAGAAGCUGAAGCAAGGGCCAGGUUCUAGGUCAUUCUGCCCCCCAAACCAGGUCAGCUCAGAGGAAGGGACACGUCUUCAGUUCAGCUUCGCUCUGCCUUUGGGGUUCGCGAACUCCAAGCUGCUCAGGUGCGCGGUGUGUGUGCCGCAGUCCGCGCCAGUAGAGUGGAUAUCCGCUCCCUGCCUUUCUGCCUCUGACUCAGAAGAGCGCCACGCCCGAGCGGCUGUCACCUAGACCUCUGAGCCUCGUAGCUCCGUGUUUUGGACAUCGCUGGGGCCCUUAUGACCUCUGACCGGGACCCUUACUGUCUGCAUCUCUCAGCGGGGUCACCCUCACCAGCUGC